GUGGGGAAUAUUGGACAAUGGGCGAAAGCCUGAUCCAGCCAUGCCGCGUGUGUGAAGAAGGUCUUCGGAUUGUAAAGCACUUUAAGUUGGGAGGAAGGGCAGUAAGUUAAUACCUUGCUGUUUUGACGUUACCGACAGAAUAAGCACCGGCUAACUUCGUGCCAGCAGCCGCGGUAAUACGAAGGGUGCAAGCGUUAAUCGGAAUUACUGGGCGUAAAGCGCGCGUAGGUGGUUUUGUAAGUUGGAGGUGAAAUCCCCGGGCUCAACCUGGGAACGGCCUCCAAAACUGCAUGACUAGAGUACGGUAGAAGGUAGUGGAAUUUCCUGUGUAGCGGUUAAAUGCGUAGAUAUAGGAAGGAACACCAGUGGCGAAGGCGACUACCUGGACUGAUACUGACACUGAGGUGCGAAAGCGUGGGGAGCAAACAGGAUUAGAAACCCUUGUAGUCC
rnacentral:rRNA from 1 species